AUUGAACGCUGGCGGCAGGCCUAACACAUGCAAGUCGAGCGGCUGCACGGAGCUUGCUCCUGGAUUCAGCGGCGGACGGGUGGGUGAGUCCUAGGAAUCUGCCUGUUAGCGGGGGAUAGCGUCCGGAAACGGGCGCUCAUACCGCAUACGUCCUGACGGCGUACGGGGGGAAUCAUCGGACCUUACGCCAUCACAUGAUCCGAGGUCGGAUUAGCUAGUUGGGGGGGUAAAGGCCUACCAAGGCGACGAUCCGUAACUGGUCUGAGAGGAUGAUCAGCCACACUGGAACUGAGACACGGUCCAGACUCCUACGGGAGGCAGCAGUGGGGAAUAUUGGACAAUGGGCGAAAGCCUGAUCCAGCCAUGCCGCGUGUGUGAAGAAGGUCUUCGGAUUGUAAAGCACUUUAAGUGGGGAGGAAAAGCAGUAAGUUAAUACCUCGCUGUUUUGACGGUACCAAAAGAAUAAGCACCGGCUAACUUCGUG
rnacentral:rRNA from 1 species